AAAAAGUGAAGACCAGAAAUCACUCAAAAAUAACGGGGCAGAACCUGAAAAGCCAAAUAAGUAAGGAAAUUA
rfam:Flavobacterium frigoris strain DSM 15719 genome assembly, contig: Ga0131223_108